rnacentral:tRNA from 1 species
GGACUGGCGCACGAGCGGAAAAAUACCUGCAAACCACCCUAUUCGUAACGGUCUCGAAAACCGUUAUCCGUCGUUAGGCGGAUCGAGGGUUCGAAUCCCUCCCCCUCCG